GAAAAUGAAUCUCAAGAUAAUUUAUGAUAACAUACAGCACUUUGACAACAAAUUUACUUAGAAUUUUGAAGGCCGUGAAGCACCAGAUUCCAAGUGUCACCUUCCGUCACACGAACCAAAAAAUUGGAUUUUUACUGUUGUUCAUUCGUUCUGUGCUGUGUGAUCUGAUGAGGACGAACAUGGGCUUUCCGUGACCAUGAUUGUUCUUGGAAAUUUUUCUACUGAAGUGGUUUCCCAUUGCCUUCUUCUGGGCAGUGUCUUUACAAGAUGGGUGACCCCCCCCCAGCCAUUAUCAAUAUUUUUGAGAGGUUGUCUGCCUGGUGUCAGUGGUCGCGUAACCAGAAGUUGUAACAUACACCAGCUGCUCCCAGAGCUACACGUGACCUUUACCCAUGGCUUCAGGUGCUACAUGUUACCUGUAGGCUAGUGGAGGGAAACAACGUCUUACACCUCCUCUGCUAGGGACACAUGUCCACCCUGCCACCCAUUAUAACUGUCACAUGUAACAAUGCAGAAAAACUUGUCUUGCAUACCACCCAUACAGAUCAUCUCAUUUUAUUAAGACUAGAUUGGCUUCAUUUAUCACAUGUACAUCAAAACUUCAAAACAUAUAGUGAAAAGUGUUUACAUCCAAGGAUGUGCUGGGGCAGCCCAUAAGUGUCGCCACACUUCUGUCACCAACAUAGCAUGCCCACAUCUUACUAACCCUUACUGACCCCCUACGCCUUUGGCAUUGACAGCAUGGGAAGAAUGAACAAACUCCGAAUGGAGAGCAGCAGAAGUUGAACCCCAAUCACUGGCACUGUAAAGCAUUAUACUAACUACCAUGUUAACCAAGCUGCCUCUGUAGAAGUGCUCCAGUUACAGAGAAACCGUGCUGCAGAUAACCAGUAAGGUACAAGGCCACGAUGACAUACAACAGCCUUACAACAGUAUGAUAGAAGCUGCUCUUGAUCCUGGUGGUACAUGCUUUCAGUUUUUGUAUCCAAUGGGAGGGGCGAGGGGGAGUACCCCCAGAGUGCCGGAAAGGGACAACGUUGAGUUUGGGAGAGUGGGGUGUCGAAGGGAAGUGGCUCUGUCCAAUCUGAUUUCCCACAAAGGCAUUACUCAUCAAAAGGGGUUUAACAAAGUCCAGUGGGGCCAGCUUUUUCACAUCCCAGGUUUGUUUAUUAUUGAUAAAUACAGGGAUCCCGAGAUCUCCACCCCCAGCUCCCUGAAAGCAGCUGUACAAGUUGAUAGGGUGGUAAAGGAUGUCUAAUAGUUGAGGCAUAGUGUUUAAGAGUUUGGAAGUUAUGUUGUAGCUUUAUAAAGGUUUGGUUGUAUCUGGAGAACUGCAUUCAGUUCAGGUCACCCCACUACAGGAAGGAUGCUGCUAAGGAAGGCAUGUGCUAUCAACAGAAGCUGGACAAACUAGGCAGAAGCUGAGGGAAAUGUGUUAAAAAGUUUUUUUUUAUUUUAGAGAUGCAGCAAGGUUACAGGCCCUUCAAUCCCACUCAUACUUUAUACUUUAUUGUCGCCAAACAAUUGAUACUAGAGCAUACAAUCAUCACAGCAAUACUUGAUUCUGCGCUUCACACUCCCUGGAGUACAAAUUGAUAGUAAAUAUAAUAAACAUUUAAAUUAUAAAUCAUAAAUAAAAAAUAGAAAAGGGAAAGUACGGUAGUGCAAGUCAGGUCCGGAUAUUUGGAAGGUAUGGCCCAGAUCCGGGUCAGGAUCUGUUCAGCAGUCUUAUCACAGUUGGAAGGAAGCUGUUCCUAAAUCUGGCUGUACGAGUCUUCAAGCUCCUGAACCUUCUCCCAGAGGGAAGAGGAACAAAAAGUGUGUUGGCUGGGUGGGUCAUGUCCUUGAUUAUCCUGGCAGCACUGCUCCGACAGCGUGCGGUGUAAAGUGAGUCCAAGGAUGUAAGAUUGGUUUGUGUGAUGUGCUGGGCUGUAUUCAUGAUCUUCUGCAGCUUCUUCCGGUCUUGGACAGGACAACUUCCAUACCAGGUUGUGAUGCACCCUGGAGAAUGCUUUUUACGGUGCAUCUAUAAAAAUUAGUGAGGGUUUUAGGGGACAGGCCAAAGUAAAGGCGCUGGUGGGCCUUCUUGGCAGUGAACUGACUGUGCUUGGUUAGACCAAGUCAGGUCAUUAGUGAUAUUGACCCCGAGGAACUUGAAGCUUUUGACCUGUUCCACCUGCGCACCAUCGAUGUAGAUAGGGUCGUGCAGUCCACUACUCCUUCUGAAGUCAACAACCAAUUCCUUCGUCAUGUGACCAAUUAACUGACUAACCCAUACAUCUUUGGAAUGUGGGAGGAAACCCAUGCAGCUAUGGGAAGAAUAUACAAAUUCCUUACAGACAGCAGCAGGAAUUGAACACUGACUGCUGGCACCGUAAUAGCGUUAUGUUAACUGCUACCCUACUAAACCAUCCCAUCUCUGGUGAGAGGCAGAGCUAAAGUAGAGAGCCAGUAUCUUUCUCGCAGGGUCAAAAUGUCAAUACUGAAGCUCAUGCAUUUAAGGUAAAAGGGGUAAGUUCAAAGAAAUGUACAGGGCAAGUUUGUAUUUCACACACAGAAUGGUGGAUCCCUGGAAUAUGCUGUCUGGGAUCACGGUGGAAGCAGAUACAAGAUGUAUUUAAGAGGCUCUUGGAUGCAUGCAUGAAUAUGCAGAGAAGAGGGGUGGAUUAUGGACCACGUGCAGGCGGAAGGGAUUAGAUGUCAUCAUCUUAAUUUAGUUCAGCACAGCUGUGCUGUACUGUUCUAUAUCCUAUGUAAGCUAUCCCGGCUGACAGGAUUUGAACCCAUGCCCCUGGAUGAGAACUCUGGUUCCUACCCCAGAUAAUUAACCACAUCAUUAGAUCAUUGGGCAGAACAGUUAGGGAGUGUGGCAGUGCAGAACAGAAGUAUUAUGUUACUGAACUAACACUUCAGAGUUCAAAUUGCAGGAUCAUUAAUCAGAGGUUUAAAAGUCCAGAAAAAAUAAACUGAUGGUGAUUACAGUUUGUUACAAUCACAAUUGCUUCAUAAACAUACUGGAAUUGGGAGCUCAGGUCUGAUUUGGCCGGGGCACGUGUGUAAACCCAGCCAAGAUCAGCAGUCAACUGCCAUCCCACUCUUACAAAGGUUACUUGAAGAGUCUGCGUCCGUGUGUUUGUACCCAUGUCUGAGUGUGAGCGAGAGUAUUAUUCAGCCCCUCAUAGCUCAGAAAACAUCAAGCCAUUGCCCUCUGGAACUGAAGCCUCACCCAAGUCUGGCCAAGGUCACCCUGUCCAACUGACCAGCAGUCAGAGACACACAAGGGACCCUGGGACAGCAGCAGGUCAGGAUUCCUGGAAGCACACAGAUGGUGGUGUAGGCGAGAUAGACCCACUUGAGCCUUAUCAGGCUGCUCUCCUCAAGGCGUUGCUUGAGGCAAGACCUCCACCCUAACCACAGCAAGUCCGCCUGCUCAUAACACUCCAGCCUCUCCCCACAUCUAUCCUUAUCAGUACCAAGCAAGCAGUGGGACACUGAGUGAAUAGUUAAUUAGAGAACCCUCUUUUGGAGUAUGCAAAUGAAGCCAGCCCAUAAUAAGGAUGUACCAGAGAGAGAGAGAGAGAAAACGAGAGUGUGUGUGACAGAGAGAGACUGAGGAAGGGUUUGGAUUCAAGGGGGGGGGGGGUGGAGGAAUGGAGUGAAAGCAAGAAGGACCAAAGAAAUAAAAAGUCAAGUCUGCAGUGCCCUCAAUCCUGAGGCACCGGUCAGUGGUGAAACCGGAGUGUGGGAGCCACAAAGCUGCAUUGGGAGGGAGCAUCAUUUCUCAGGAGGUAGGUUGUGGAAACUUUACUCUGCACCUUUUCUCACAUCUUUCACUUCUUGCAGUUCAGACUUCUCCCUUGAACCCGGGCUGAGUGUUACAGAGUUGUACAGUGGUCACUCAGCAACCGUCGAAGCAGGUGCCCUGCCUCCAAGCCCAAAGGUUUUGGAUCACAUUCAGAGUCAUUUCAAACUGGUUCCUCAGCUCAGGUGUGCCAAACUGACAUGGAACCAGCCCUCAGAUGGGGUCAAGGGGAACAGCAGGAGGAUCACGGGGGCUCAGAGGACCUCCUCCCCUCCUCUGCUCCAUCCUCUUCCAAGACCCCCCCCCCCACCCCAGCUGUGUGAUAGGGAAAAAAUGUGUCUCCCUUUUUAAUUCCUUUAAACAAUUCCCUACUUAACUUUCUGUACCAGAGAGAACACUCAACUGUUUUGCCUAUACAUUUAACCCUUUGAAUCCUGGGUUGCAUUCUGUUGAAUCUAUACAGCAGCAGGUGAACUGCAGUAAGUACAUUGAGGAAAUGGCUCUUAAUCCCAUGUUGUUUACUGCCCUCUGAACUUCAACAAUGUAUGGUUUGUCAAAUAUUCUUUGCUUUGACAUUCUCAAUCUUUAAACGUUAUUCUGGUUCAAAAGGGGUUUUCAGAAUUAAAAUCAGGUUUAUUACACUGACCCAGGUGUGGAAUUUAUUGUUUAUAGGUAACAGUACAGUAUAUUUUGUGUAUUUUGUAUAAAUUACAAUAACAAAUACUUUAUAUAUUAAAAAAUUAAAUAGGCAGUGCAAAAGGGGCAAAAAUAGUGGGGUACUGAAUCAGAUUCAGGUUUAGUAUCACUGGCAUAUGUUGUGAAAUUUGUUGUUUUACAGCAACAGUACACUGCAAUGCAUAAUAAAAACUAUAAAUUACAGUAAGUAUAUAUAAAAAAGAAAAUUAAAUUUAGUGCAAAAAGAAGGGGACAAAGAGUGAGUAAGUGUACUUUGCCCAUUCAAAAAUCUAAUGGCAGAGGGGAAGAAACGUUUCCUGAAACAUUGAAUCGGGGACAUGUUGUCAGUGGUGAGGAUCCUUAAUGAUGGAGCUGAAUGAUUUUGCAACCGUCUGCAGCUUUUUCCAAUCCUGUGCAGUGGCUCCUCCACACCAGAACCUGAUGUCCAUUUAAUCUCUCAAUGCCUUGUUAUUUCACUUCACUGUCCAAACCACUUACACCACCACCAAACUUCACAAUCUUGACAAACUUGGAUAUUCCCAAUAUUAAUAGUUGAAGGCCCACAGACAGUGUGAAGCUCUGGUUAUUGCUGUCCAAUAGCAUGUAUGGAGUUAAAUCUGAAUGCUAUUGGUAUGUUCAACAGCAUGGCAAAGAGUCCCGGCUUGGCAUACUCAGGUUCGCUGUGAUUUUUAUUUUGUAGUCAUAGUUAAACCAAGUGCCGUACUGAGCUAGUCCCAUUGGCCCAUAUCCCUUUAAACCAGGAGUUCCCAACCUGGGGUCCAAUGACCUCUUGCUUAAUGGUAUUGAUCCAUGGCAUUAAAAAAUCUGGGAGCCCCACUUUAAACCUUUUCCUAUUGAUGUAUCCGUUCAAAUUGUCUUUUAAGCAUUUUAGUUGUACCUGCCUCCACCACAUCCUCUGGCAGCUUAUUCCACACAAUACACACACAACUCAAGAGGUCAGAUAGCAUCUAUUUCAGGUUGAGACUCUUCAUCAGGACUCCACAUCAUUCCACAUACUCACCACACUUUGUGGGAUAAGUUCCUCCCCACGUAUCCCUUAAAGCUUUUCCCUCUCAUCUCUAAUUAAUGCUGUCUAGUUUCAGGUUCUCCUUCCAUGGAAAAUGACUGUGGGCCAUCCACCUUAUCUAUAUGGUGUCUUGGGUUCCAUAGCCAUCCGUUGUAAUGAGUUCCACAGAUUCACCACCCUGUGGCUAAAGAAAUUCCUCCUCAUCUCUGUUUUAAAGGGAUAUCCUUGUAUUCUGAGGCUGUGGCAUCUGGUCCACAACUAUAGGAAACUUCCUCUCCAUGCGCACUCUAUCUGGGCCAUUCAAUAUUCAAUAGGUUUAAUGAAAUCCCUCUUCAUUCUCAUAAACUCCAGCGAGUACAAGCCCAAAGCCAUCAAACACUCCUCAUACAUUAACCUUUUCAUUCCUGGGAUCAUUCCCGUUUGAACCCUCUCCAAUACCAGCACACUCUUCCUUAGAUAAGGGGCCAAAAAUUGUUCAAUAUUGUUCAAUAUUGCAAGUGCAAUCUGACCAAUGCCUAAUAAAGCCUCAGCUUUGCAUCCUUGUAUUUAUUCUCACCAGUAGUCAGGCUGGAACCAGAAUCUGGAGUCACACUAUAACCUCCUACCGAGGGGAACAGUCAUGGCCACAUUGACUUCACCUACCCUUGCACACUAGACUGUGGUAAAGCACACAAACGCAAUUCCUCUUUAAAGGGAUAGUCUCUGAUCACAGUGGCGCCAUGUACUACCUCGGAAAAGUACAAAUGUGAAAUUAAGAAUUUCUUCAACUGUUAAAAAGUUGUUAUGGAGAAAAUAUCAAUUUCAACCAGGUCACACAAGCUGCACCACUGAUAAAUUCAUGAUUAGUGAUUUGUUUAUAGAAUGUUAAGUUCACUUGAUUGGGAGUUUCAGUUCUCUUUUCCAAGAAAAAAUCAACUGCUGAUGAACUAAAAAUAGUUGAAUUCUCUUCCGCAGAUGGAGAGUGAGAAAGAAACCGGCCAAUUAAAAGCAGGAGACUUCUCUUCCUGAUACGAACCCCAACUCUCCAAGCAGCUAAAAGCAGGGUGAAGUCAGUUAAACCCUGGAGCGGCGAACAGUGAGGAACACAGCUCAGAGACUUGAGACGUUGACACCAACUAUAAAGCAAUGGGUGGUCACGAUCAGAACAACCGUGAGUGCUGCUUAAAAUGGAACCUGAGGGCCAACACAGUAUAUGCGGAGUGUGUGUGGAGGCUCAGUCGUUCUCCUUAGAGCAGAGAGAUUUUAUCACAGAAUUUUAAAAGCAUGUGGGGUUUUUUGAUGUUGUAAAUGAGAGAACCAGCUUUCACUGACAGGUGGCUACUCAAAUUUAAGGCAAUUAUCAGAUCCUGCAGAAAAAUCCCUUUCACUCGGUAACAAGCUGCCUGAAGGGGCAGUAGAAUGAAAUACAGAAAGGGUAUUGGGAAAGGAAAAAUUUUCAAGGCUUCGGAGAAAGCGACAGAUCAAAUGAACUGGCAUGGGGCUGAGAAGCUGCCUUCUGGGCCUCAUUGUACUUGGAUCUCAAUUGAUGGGUGGCAUAGUAGCAUAGUGGUUAGCUCAGGGUGUCAAGAGUUCGAUUCCGGUGCUGUCUAUAAGGAGUUUCUAUGUUCCUCCCCGUGACUGGAUGGAUUUCCUCCCACAGUCCAAAGGCACACUGGUUAGUUGGUUAAUUAGUCAUUGUAAAUAGUCCUGUGAUUAAACCAGGGUUAAAUGGGUGGGUUGCUGGGCAGUGCUACUCGAUGGGCUGGAAGGGCCAGUUCUGUGCUGUAUUUCUGAAUGAAUUAAGUCUUUAAGGGUAAUGAUGUUGCUGUUGUUAAUUCCCAUGUGAAAAUGUAAUUGCGUCAACCACAGUAAAGAACAGAACAAAGCAAAGUGUUAAUCAUGGUUCUGGGCGUUGUUGCUUUAAUCCAUAUUGUACCAUUGCUGGCAAGUUCCUUGUCUUAAUUUGUCCUAUUUUGAAUCGAUCGACUUUCCUGUUCGUUUUCUGAAAUAAUUCUGAAGCUAACUGGCAGCUGGCCAUGCCUGUGCCAGACUGGGAAUGUGAACAGCAAUCUCACUGGUCUGUGAAGUGGGCAGAUCCCACUUUUGAUCAAAGUCCUUGGUCAGUUGGUGUGUCCUGGGACACUGCCCUUAAGCACGGAGCCCGUCAUUAUUGAGUCCAGAGCUUUGAAAACUUUAAACUCUUCGGCCAGUUCCCAGGAAGAGUUAGCUUUGAGUCAAAAUGUUAACUGGAUUCUUUCCAUAGAAAUUGCUUGAAUGACUAAGACAUAGGACAUUACAGCAAAGUACAGGCCCUUCGGUCCACAAUGUUAUGCUAACCUUUUAACCUACUCUAAAAUAAAUUAACCUUCCCCUCCUAUAUUCCUUUUCUCAAUCAUUCAUAUACCCAUCUUAGAUUUCCCUAAUAUAUCUGCCUCUACCACCCUGGCAGAAUGUUCCAUGCACCCACCUGUGUGUGUCUGUGGAAUUUGCACCAGAUUGAAAUAAGCUGCAGAAAUUUGUAAACUCAGUCAGCUCCAUCAUGAGCACUAACCUCCCCAGCAUCCAGGGUAUCUUCAAAGAGUGAUGCCUCAAAGUCAGCAUCAAUCAUUAAUGACCCUCAUCACCCAGGACAUGCCCUCUUCUCAUCGCUACCAUCAGGGAUGAGGUACAUGAGCAUGAAGACACAAACUCAAUGCUUCUCCCCUUCUGCCAUCAGGUUUCUGAAUGAACAGUGAACCCAUGAACACUACCUCACUAUUUUUUCCAUUUUUAGAACUAUUUAUUACAUUUAACAUAUAUACACUUACUGUAAUUUACUUUAUUAUAUAUUGCAAUGUACUGUUGUUGCAUUACAACAAAUUUCAUGAUAUAUGCUGAUAUUAAACGAUUCUGAUUCUCUAUGUUAAAAACUUACUACUGAUACGCCCCUAUACUUUCCUCCAAUCACCUUAAAAUUACACCCUCUGGUAUAGCCAUUACUGCCCUGGGGGGAAAUUCUCUGGCUGUCCAUUCCAUCUAUGCUCCCUAUCAGAAGUCUUUCCAGCUUUCCUGCUGUAGUGUCAGCAGUUGUACUGUGAGAUAAGCCCUGGGUAUGAUACAGCACAAGGGAGUAGAGAGCACCUGUGCUCACAUCUGCAUCGAGCACUUUUGCUUUGCCACAGCAGGGUACAAAGGUGCUCAACCAUUUCACAGAAUUAGAGGACCACGUGAAUGAAGUACUGAUAUUGUAUAGAAAGCAAAUUUCAUUUCUGCUCCCCCCCCACCAACACACUCAAGCACAAACCCCCUACCUGUUCAUUCCAGUCACCAUGUGGUUUGUGAUCUUCUUUCUGACUCAGGAGCCAUCUUCAGAAUGGGUAGGUGAGGUGAAAGGUGAGACAGUGUGGCUAUCCGCUCAUCGUGACUGUGGUACUCCCUUUGUACUUCCUUGUACAACAGGACGCUGAAGACGUGCCUGGAGCUCGGGGCAGGAUAUCAUCAUAUACUGACUACAAGCCAAUUGAACUGCAAUCCGAAGAUUCUGGUUCUGACCUGGGAAAUGUACAGAGUUCUCUGUCCCAGGCUGGAAGCUACCUCAGGAUGUGAAACUCAGAACUGCCUUCAGUACUCCAGGUGAAGUCUAACCAGGUUCUUGGAUCCCGCAUACCAAGGUCUUCUCAAAGCUUCCUUCACUCCAGGGAAAACAGACCCAGCCAAUCCAUUCUUUCCUGAUAACUCAAGGCCUCCAAUACGCACGGGACUUAUCGCUGGACUCUGAGGGGGUGUCGGUUAAACCGUUACCAUUACUUGUUUAAGUACUGGUAAGGGUUAUACCGCUGCUCCCAGACUCUUCUCAGCAGCUGGAAGGCGAAGAGACAACAAAGCAAAAGGACACAGCGGAAGCAAUGAUAAAUUGUGAACUUCUAUUGGUUUGUGACUUCAACCAAAAUAAAUUAAAACUACAGGAAUAAUGGAAGUGGAUAUACAAGUGUUAAGUAAGGGGAGCAGCAGAGCAGCCAGAUUACCGUGCCUUUUGCAGCAGAUCUCCCCUCACUAGCAAAUAUUUUCUGUAAAACUCUGCUCACAAAAUUCAAUUCAAACUGCCUUGUUAGGCAGCACACUAACGUAGCAGUUAGCGUAAUACUUCACAACACCAGUGAUCGGGGUUCAAUUCCCUCGCUGUCUGUAAGGAGUUUGUAAAGAUUAGCUUUAUUUGUCAUGUGUACAUCAGAACAUACAGUAAAAUGAGUCAUUUGGAUCAGAUCAAAUCAGCAAAUAUUGUGUUGGGGGAGGGGAGCAGGCAAGUGUCACCAUGCUUCCAGUGCCAACACAGCAUGCCCACAAAUCACUAACCCGUACAUCAUUGGAAUCUGAGAGGCAACCAGAGCAUCUGGAGGAAACCCUCGCAGUCAGGGGGAGAAAUACAAACUCCUUACAGACAGCAGCAGGAAUUGAACCCAGGUUGCUAGUGCGGUAAAGUGUUAUGCUAACCACCCACGCUACUAUGUUGUCCUGUGCACGUUCUCCACCGUGACCCUGAGGAUUUCCUCAGAGUUCUCCGGUUUCCUCCCACAUUUCAAGGUUAGGGCUAGUGAGUAGUGGGCAUGGUAUAUGUUGGCACCGGAAUUAUGGUGACACUUGUGGGCUGUUCCCAGCGCACCCUGGGACUGUACUGGUCACUGACGUAAGUGGCACAUUUCACUGUUGUUUCGAUGUACACGUGAUAAACAAAACUAAUGCUUUAUCUUCAUCUUUUUUUCUCCAUCUCAAACUCAGAUCAAUUAUCCAAAUUCAGUGGCUACUUGCAUCAUUGUGUGUGUCUGUGCAACUGUGCUCUAUCAUGUGGGUCCCCCAUGCAUUCUACACUAUGUAAAUUUCACUCUAAGUCUCUCUCCUCUGUCCCAAUUUGCAUAGACUUAUUUCACCACCAUCCUUGAGCUCACAUUGACCUGAUCACACAGUCUCGUAUAUAGAAUUCCAAUCAGCCUUUUCCAAUUCCUCCAUGGCCUCUCCCAGACACAAAAUCAAGCAUCCUUCCCACCCCACCCUUCAGCUCUCUAGCCUAACACUUUAAAGUUUCUCCCUAAAUCUCCCCAUCUUUCUCUGCAUUUAAAAUUCUCAAUCCCUCCAUCUGGGAGGAGAUAGAGGAGCCUGAACAAAGUUUUACGAACAACUUCUUCCCCUCCACCAUCAGAUUUCUGAACACAUGAACACUACCUCAUAUUUACUCUCUUUUUGCAUUGCUCAUUCAUGUUAUUAAAUUUAUUUUAUAUAUUAUAAUUGCAAAUAUAUAUCUUAUAAUUUUUCUAUUUAUUGUAACAUAAUAUCUUUAAUGUAUGGUGUUGUACCACUGCCACAAAACGACAAAUUUCUCAACAUGUCAGUGAUAAUAAUUUUGAUUCUGAUUGACUGAGCUACAUUUUGUCUGACGCAACACACACAAAAUGCCAGAGGAACUCAGCAGGUCAGACAGUGCCCAUGGAGGGGAAAAACCAUUUCGAGCCAAGACCCUUCAUCAGGAAGUUGAGACAAGUAAGGGUACUAUGUCAGUAACAGUAUCGUCCUGCAGAGUGCAAUAGACAGAGACCAGCCCACUUUUUUUUAACUGAUGUCUCUGGAGUGGGACUUCAAUUCCGGAAGUGGUUAGUGUAGCUGUCUCACAGCUCCAAGGGACCCCGUUUCCAUCCUACUCCUCAGUGCUGUCUGUGUGGAAUCCACAGGUUCCCUCUGUCAGAUGGUAGCACAGACAAUGCUGCAGCUCUAUAAAACUGGUUAGACCACACUUGGAGUAUUGUGUUCAGUCCUGGUCACAUUAUAAGAAAGAAGUGGAAGCUUGAGAGAGGGUGCAGAGAAAAUUUAACAGGAUGCUUCCUGGAUUGGAACAUCCCCAAUGAGGAUUCUUCACAUGAGCCAGGGCUAUCCUCUAAAACGAAGGACGAUGAGAAGUGAUGAUAGUGAUGUAUAAGAUGAUAAGGGGCACAAAGUGGACAACCAGAGACUUUUUCCCCAGGGCAGAAAUGACUAAUACAAGGGGGCAUAACUUUAAGGUGAUUGGAAAAAAGUAUGGGGUGGUGUCAGAGGCAAGAUUUUUCUAUAAAGAGUGGAGGGUGUGUGAAACUCACUGCCAGGGGUGGGGGUAGAGGCAGAUACAUCAGGGACAUUUAAGAGACUCUCAGAUAGGCACAUGGAUGAAAGAAAAUGGAGGCUAUGUGAGAGGGAAGGGUUAGAUUGAUUAGCCAUAUCCACCCAGGGGAAAAAGUCUCUGAUCCAACACAUCAGGGCAAAGACAACAGACAGUAGGUGCAGGAGUAGGCCAUUCAGCCCUUCUAGCCAGCACCACCAUUCACUGUGAUCAUGGCAGAUCAUACACAAUCAGUACCCCAUUUCUGCCCUCUCCCUAUAUACCUUGACCCCACUAUCUAGAAGAGCUCUAUCUAACUCUCUCUUGAAUGCAUCCAGAGACUUGGCCUCCACUGCCUUCUGGGGCAGAGCAUUCCACAUAUCCACCGCUCUCUGGGUGAAAAAGUUUUUCUGCAUCUCUGUUCUAAAUGGCCUACCCCUUAUUCUUAAACUGUGGCCUCUAGUUCUGGACUCACCCAUCAGCGGGAACUUGCUUCCUGCCUCCAGUGUGUCCAAUCCCUUAAUAAUCUUAUAUGUUUCAAUCAGAUCCCCUCUCAUCCUUCUAAAUUCCAGUGUAUACAAGCCCAGUCGCUCCAAUCUUUCAACAUAUGACAGUCCCGCCAUUCCGGGAAUUAACCUUGUGAACCUAGGCUGCACUCCCUCAAUAGCAAGAAUGUCCUUCCUCAAAUUUGGAGACCAAAACCGCACACAAUACUCCAGGUGGGGUCUCACCAGGGCCCUGUACAGCUGCAGAAGGACCUCUUUACUCCUAUACUCAAUUCCUCAUGUUAUAAAGGCCAGCAUGCCAUUAGCUUUCUUCACUGCCUGCUGUACCUGCAUGCUUGCUUUCAUUGACUGAUGUACAAGAACACCUAGAUCUCAUUGUACUUCCCCUUUUCCUAACUUGACUCCAUUUAGAUAGUAAUCUGCCUUCCUGUUCUUGCCACCAAAGUGGAUAACCUCACAUUUAUCCACAUUAAACCCCAUCUGCCAUACAUUUGCCCACUCACCCAACCUGUCCAAGUCACCCUGCAUUCUCAUAACAUCCUCCUGACAUUUCACACUGCCACCCAGCUUUGUGUCAUCAGCAAAUUUGCUAAUGUUACUUCUAAUCCCGUCAUCUAAAUCAUUAAUGUACAUUGUAAACAGCUGCGGUCCCAGCACUGAACCUUGCAGUAUCCCACCGGUCACAGCCUGCCAUUCCAAAAGGGACCUGUUAAUCACUACUCUUUGUUUCCUGUCAGCCAGCCAAUUUUCAAUCCAUGUCAGUACUCUGCCCCCAAUACCAUGUGCCCUAAUUUUGCCCACUAAUCUCCUAUGUGGGACUUUAUCAAAAGCUUUCUGGAAGUCCAGGCACACUACAUCCACAGGCUCUCACCUUGUCCAAGGUGUUGGAUUCAGGGUGAAGAGCGCAGAAGCCAUGAACUGUGCCUUCAUGUGGAGGCAGCACAGCAUCCUUUCUCAAGGUAGUAGGUUAAGGUCUCCAAGGAAAAUGUCUUUGACUGUCCACUCGAUCAAUGCCGCAUUAUCUUGUGCACCAACAUCACUUUCCUUCGGCUUGCCAUUGACAUCGUCAGGAUGCCGCAACCAUCUCAGACAGAUCUCUCUGCACGCCACCAUUUACAACGUACUGUGGUCUCGGGACGUUCUACCACAGCAGAACUGGAUUGCUUACACCUUGCCCUCCUUCACUGCCUGCCAGCCCAAUGAGAGGCUGAAAUGGAGCACCAGCGUUCUGGCAUUCUGCCUGAUGCAAACUAGAAAGGAGGUGACAUAGCCAGCAAGUGACUAGGGUGAAAUUUAAGAUUCCUUUGUUUUAAACACCCAGGAAACAAGUUAAAUAAGGAGAUGUAAUAUAGAGAAAUUAUUUAAAUCUUACCUUAGA